GUGCUCACUUUGGCAGCACAUAUACUAAAAUAGGAACAAUACAGAGAAGAUUAUCAUGGCCUCUGCACAAAGAUGACACAUAAAUUUGUGAAGUAUUUCAUAUUUUU
ensembl:snRNA RNU6-936P RNA, U6 small nuclear 936, pseudogene